AGUAAAAGUCGUAACAAGGUUUCCGUAGGUGAACCUGCGGAAGGAUCAUUACAUUCAGUAGCCCAGCUACUUGUUUACACCCUUGUUUUUUUGCGUACUUAUCGUUUCCUCGGCGGGCUUGCCUGCCGGUUGGACAACUUUAUAACCUUUUUAAAUCUUCAAUCAGCGUCUGAAUAAUAUACAAUAAUUACAACUUUCAACAACGGAUCUCUUGGUUCUGGCAUCGAUGAAGAACGCAGCGAAAUGCGAUAAGUAGUGUGAAUUGCAGAAUUCAGUGAAUCAUCGAAUCUUUGAACGCACAUUGCGCCCCUUGGUAUUCCAUGGGGCAUGCCUGUUCGAGCGUCAUUUGUACCUUCAAGCUUUGCUUGGUGUUGGGUGCUUGUCUUUUUGUUAAGACUCACCUCAAAGUCAUUGGCAGCCAGUGUUUUGGUAGUAAGCGCAGCACAUUUUGCGUCUUGGUCCCUCAACAGCAGCAUCCAUCAAGCCAUUUUCUCACUUUUGACCUCGGAUCAGGUAGGGAUACCCGCUGAACUUAAGCAUAUCAAUAAGCGGAGGAAAAGAAACCAACAGGGAUUGCCUCAGUAACG
rnacentral:rRNA from 1 species